rnacentral:rRNA from 1 species
AUUGAACGCUGGCGGCAUGCCUUACACAUGCAAGUCGAACGGCAGCACGGGUGCUUGCACCUGGUGGCGAGUGGCGAACGGGUGAGUAAUACAUCGGAACAUGUCCUGUAGUGGGGGAUAGCCCGGCGAAAGCCGGAUUAAUACCGCAUACGAUCUACGGAUGAAAGCGGGGGACCUUCGGGCCUCGCGCGAUAGGGUUGGCCGAUAGCUGAUUAGCUAGUUGGUGGGGUAAAGGCCUACCAAGGCGACGAUCAGUAGCUGGUCUGAGAGGACGACCAGCCACACUGGGACUGAGACACGGCCCAGACUCCUACGGGAGGCAGCAGUGGGGAAUUUUGGACAAUGGGCGAAAGCCUGAUCCAGCAAUGCCGCGUGUGUGAAGAAGGCCUUCGGGUUGUAAAGCACUUUUGUCCGGAAAGAAAUCCUUGGCUCUAAUACAGUCGGGGGAUGACGGUACCGGAAGAAUAAGCACCGGCUAACUACGUG